rnacentral:rRNA from 1 species
GAUGAACGCUGGCGGCGUGCUUAACACAUGCAAGUCGAACGGAAAGGCCCAAGCUUGCUUGGGUGCUCGAGUGGCGAACGGGUGAGUAACACGUGGGUGAUCUGCCCUGCACUUUGGGAUAAGCCUGGGAAACUGGGUCUAAUACCGGAUAGGACCAUCGUUUAGUGUCGGUGGUGGAAAGUUUUUCGGUGUGGGAUGAGCUCGCGGCCUAUCAGCUUGUUGGUGGGGUAAUGGCCUACCAAGGCGUCGACGGGUAGCCGGCCUGAGAGGGUGUACGGCCACAUUGGGACUGAGAUACGGCCCAGACUCCUACGGGAGGCAGCAGUGGGGAAUAUUGCACAAUGGGCGCAAGCCUGAUGCAGAGACGCCGCGUAGGGGAUGACGGCCUUCGGGUUGUAAACUCCUUUCGCCAAGGACGAAGCGUUUUGUGACGGUACUUGGAGAAGAAGCACCGGCUAACUACGUG